GAUAAUUUUGUUACUAAAUACUUUCCAACCCAAAAACUGUCCAAAUAGGACCAAAUAGUGGAAUGAAUGAACAAACAAACCCAAGCAUUCUCUCAUACCCUAGAACCUUCUCAAAAGCCUCACCUCUAAAAUCUCUCCCCCGUCACAGGAAUUCAGCAAGUUAAUCAUGUAAUGUCCGGCCCAAUACAGACCGGGCCCAAUACUAUAGGGCCCAGUUGGAGAGUAUUGGGCCAGGAAAGGGUUAGCG
rnacentral:lncRNA from 1 species